AACGAACGCUGGCGGCAUGCCUAACACAUGCAAGUCGAACGAGACCUUCGGGUCUAGUGGCGCACGGGUGCGUAACGCGUGGGAACCUGCCCUUAGGUUCGGAAUAACUCCCCGAAAGGGGUGCUAAUACCGGAUAAUGUCUUCGGACCAAAGAUUUAUCGCCUUUGGAUGGGCCCGCGUUGGAUUAGCUUGUUGGUAGGGUAAAAGCCUACCAAGGCGACGAUCCAUAGCUGGUUUGAGAGGAUGAUCCGCCACACUGGGACUGGGACACGGCCCAGACUCCUACGGGAGGCAGCAGUGGGGAAUAUUGGACAGUGGGCGAAAGCCUGAUCCAGCAAUGCCGCGUGAGUGAUGAAGGCCUUAGGGUUGUAAAGCUCUUUUACCCGGGAUGAUAAUGACAGUACCGGGAGAAUAAGCUCCGGCUAACUCCGUG
rnacentral:rRNA from 1 species